rnacentral:piRNA from 1 species
UAGUAUAUAAUGCUCCACUUUGUCGCUGAC